AAGAAAAUGACAGAGUGGUUAUGUGGUUGACUUGAAAUCAGUACAUGGGGGUUCGAUUCCUCCUUUUCUUG
rnacentral:tRNA from 1 species